rnacentral:misc_RNA from 1 species
UUGAAAUGAAUCACUUGGUAAUUGGAUUAAACAUUGCUUGCUUUAGUUAGGGGAAUGGAGAGGAAUACCCUCAUGGGGUCAUGGAUUGGCUCCAAUAAUGGCUUAAACAUUGCUCCUGAUUUUUGUGUUAAGCUUCUUCAUCAUCUUAUUUCCCUUUUUCUCCCCUAAUUUUUGUAAGGAAGUUCUUCAUCAGUUGUAUUCAUUUUCAGAAGAAGUGAAGGCUAAACAUCCCAAGAUUAUACUUAUGCAGACCUAUACUGGGUGAUUAUUUAUGGUGUUUAUAAAUUGGUGA